AUUGAACGCUUGCGGCAUGCCUUACACAUGCAAGUCGAACGGUAACGCGGGGCAACCUGGCGACGAGUGGCGAACGGGUGAGUAAUGUAUCGGAACGUGCCCAGCUGUGGGGGAUAACUGCUCGAAAGAGCAGCUAAUACCGCAUACGACCUGAGGGUGAAAGCGGGGGAUCGCAAGACCUCGCGCAAUUGGAGCGGCCGAAUUCAGAUUAGGUAGUUGGUGGGGUAAAGGCUCACCAAGCCAACGAUCUGUAACUGGUCUGAGAGGACGACCAGCCACACUGGGACUGAGACACGGCCCAGACUCCUACGGGAGGCAGCAGUGGGGAAUUUUGGAAAAUGGGCGCAAGCCUGAUCCAGCCAUGCCGCGUGCGGGAAGAAGGCCUUCGGGUUGUAAACCGCUUUUGUCAGGGAAGAAAAGACUCCUGUUAAUACCGGGGGUUCAUGACGGUACCUGAAGAAUAAGCACCGGCUAACUACGUGCCAGCAGCCGCCGCCG
rnacentral:rRNA from 1 species